rnacentral:rRNA from 1 species
GAUGAACGCUGGCGGCGUGCCUAAUACAUGCAAGUCGAGCGAACAGACGAGGAGCUUGCUCCUCUGACGUUAGCGGCGGACGGGUGAGUAACACGUGGAUAACCUACCUAUAAGACUGGGAUAACUUCGGGAAACCGGAGCUAAUACCGGAUAAUAUAUUGAACCGCAUGGUUCCAUAGUGAAAGACGGUUUUGCUGUCACUUAUAGAUGGAUCCGCGCCGCAUUAGCUAGUUGGUAAGGUAACGGCUUACCAAGGCAACGAUGCGUAGCCGACCUGAGAGGGUGAUCGGCCACACUGGAACUGAGACACGGUCCAGACUCCUACGGGAGGCAGCAGUAGGGAAUCUUCCGCAAUGGGCGAAAGCCUGACGGAGCAACGCCGCGUGAGUGAUGAAGGUCUUCGGAUCGUAAAACUCUGUUACUAGGGAAGAACAAAUGUGUAAGUAACUAUGCACGUCUUGACGGUACCUAAUCAGAAAGCCACGGCUAACUACGUG